GACUAACUAAGUACUUCUUGAGCUGUUGGGCCCUUCCCUGUUAAAAUAUUUUCUCUCAAGUUCUUGUUGUCUCUUUAGUCCGUAGAUGGAGUCAUUAGUUGUUGGCUGCUGCUGAGUGACCAUGUAUGGGUUUAACUUUUGUUGCAUUCAAUAGAUGUUAGAUUAAUAAUCAUGAAGCGGAAAAUUUUAUCCCUCUUUCCUUUUCUACUUGAAGCAUGAGGUUGCUCCUUUUUCUAAUUGGAUGUUGGUAAGAGGGUUACAAGAAUAUAAGUUGAACCUCAACUCGGUCAUAACGCAUUGGCAUCUGCCAACUGAAGCAGACUCCUUGUGAUAAAAGUGAUUGGGUAUGUUUUGUUUAUUUGUCAAGCUUGCAGGAGAAAGUUCUCUAAACUUGGAUAGUUUAGGAUGACUAGAUUUACUGGUGUGAGAUCGUAGGAUUGAAAAACUUAUUGAAGGAAAAUUUGCGUUGUAACGUUUCUUACAAAGCUGAGUCAGUUGAACUUUUCUUGAAUUGAGAGUCCAGCCACUUGGCCCGUAAUCUGCCAUGCCUGAGUGUUUUUUUGCGUGAGUUGUAAAUGCAUGGAACAUACGUUAUAAAUAUAGAUAAUCACUGAAAGCAUCUUAUGUUAACAGGAAUGGGAGUGAAGAUAAAGCUAAUCUUCAUAAAUAACUAACUGUAAAAAUAAUCUCACGCAACAAUAUGCCCUGAUAAUAAGACUGAUGUAGUCGGCAUUUGUAGCUUGAUUUCCUAUUGUGGGAAUAGUUCUGGCCUGAUCAGGCGGGCACAUAAGCCAGCAAUUACCUGGGCUGAGCAUUGAACUUCUCUCCACU